CGUGCAGGCGGUUCGUUAAGUUCGAGGUGAAAGCUCCCGGCUCAACUGGGAGAGGUCCUCGGAUACUGGCGGACUUGAGGGAGGCAGAGGAAAGUGGAAUUCCCGGUGUAGUGGUGAUAUGCGUAGAUAUCGGGAGGAACACCAGUGGCGAAGGCGGCUUUCUGGGCCUUACCUGACGCUGAGACGCGAAAGCGUGGGGAGCGAACCGGAUUAGAUACCCGGGUAGUCCACGCCGUAAACUAUGGACACUAGGUGUGGGGGGUAUCGACCCCCUCCGUGCCGAAGCUAACGCAAUAAGUGUCCCGCCUGGGGAGUACGGCCGCAAGGCUAAA
rnacentral:rRNA from 1 species